CCUACGGGAGGCUGCAGUGGGGAAUAUUGCGCAAUGGACGAAAGUCUGACUCAGCGACGCCGCGUGUGGGAUGAAGCUCUUCGGGGUGUAAACCACUGUUGCCCGGGACGAACCUCCCCUUUCGAGGGGACUGACGGUACCGGGUGAGGAAGCACCGGCUAACUCUGUGCCAGCAGCCGCGGUAAUACAGAGGGUGCGAGCGUUGUCCGGAAUCACUGGGCGUAAAGGGCGCGUAGGUGGCUUGGUUAGCGUGCGGUGAAAGCUCGGGGCUCAACCCCGAGUCGGCCGUGCGAACUGCCGAGCUCGAGCAUGGUAGAGGCAGGUGGAAUUCCGGGUGUAGCGGUGGAAUGCGUAGAUAUCCGGAAGAACACCGGUGGCGAAGGCGGCCUGCUGGGCCAUUGCUGACACUGAGGCGCGACAGCGUGGGGAGCAAACAGGAU
rnacentral:rRNA from 1 species